GAUGAACGCUAGCGAUAGGCUUAACACAUGCAAGUCGAGGGGCAGCAUGGUCUUAGCUUGCUAAGACUGAUGGCGACCGGCGCACGGGUGCGUAACGCGUAUGCAACUUGCCUCACAGAGGGGGAUAACCCGUCGAAAGACGAACUAAUACCGCGUACACUUGGAGGGAGGCAUCUCCCAUCAAGGAAAAGAAAUUCGCUGUGAGAUAGGCAUGCGUCCCAUUAGCUAGUUGGUGAGGUAACGGCUCACCAAGGCAACGAUGGGUAGGGGAACUGAGAGGUUGAACCCCCACACUGGUACUGAGACACGGACCAGACUCCUACGGGAGGCAGCAGUGAGGAAUAUUGGUCAAUGGGCGAGAGCCUGAACCAGCCAAGUCGCGUGAAGGAUGACUGUCUUAUGGAUUGUAAACUUCUUUUGUAGGGGAAUAAAGAACGGUGCGUGUACCGUAGUGAAUGUACCCUACGAAUAAGCAUCGGCUAACUCCGUGCCAGCCGCCGCAGUAA
rnacentral:rRNA from 1 species